rnacentral:rRNA from 1 species
AUUGAACGCUGGCGGCAGGCUUAACACAUGCAAGUCGAACGAGCGGCGGACGGGUGAGUCAUGUAUGGGAAACUGCCUGAUGGAGGGGGAUAACUACUGGAAACGGUAGCUACUACCGCAUACCAUCAGAUGUGCCCCGAUGGGAUUAGCUAGUAGGUGGGGUAAUGGCUCACCUAGGCGACGAUCCCUAGCUGGUCUGAGAGGAUGCCCGGCCACACUGGAACUGAGACACGGUCCAGACUCCUACGGGAGGCAGCAGUGGGGAAUAGUGCACAAUGGGCGCAAGCCUGAUGCAGCCAUGCCGCGUGUGUGAAGAAGGCCUUAGGGUUGUAAAGCACUUUCAGCGAGGAGGCGUUACUCGCAGAAGAAGCACCGGCUAACUCCGUGCCAGCCGCCGCGGUAAUAC